GACGAACGCUGGCGGCGUGCCUAAUACAUGCAAGUAGACCUUAGUGGCGGACGGGUGAGUAACACGUGGGUAACCUACCCAUCCGUGGGGGAUAACACUUGGAAACAGGUGCUAAUACCGCAUACUAUCAGAUGAGCCUAGGUCGGAUUAGCUAGUUGGUGGGGUAAAGGCCUACCAAGGCGACGGUCUGUAACUGGACUGAGAGGAAUAACAGUCAAACUGGAACUGGGACACGUUCCAAACUCCUACGGGAGGCAGCAGUGGGGAAUCUUCCGAAAAGGACGAAAGGCUGACGAAUCAAGGCCGCGUGAGUGAUGACGGCCAUCGGGUUGGAAAGCUCUCUUAAUCGGGACGCGGUACCGGAAUAGUAAGCCACGGCUAACUACGUGCCAGCAGCCGCGGUAAUAC
rnacentral:rRNA from 1 species